GUAGGGUCCAAGCGUUAAUCGGGAAUUACUGGGGCGUAAAGCGUGCGCAGGCGGUUGUGCAAGACCGAUGUGAAAUACCCCCGGGGGCUUAACCGUGGGGAAUUGCAUUGGUGACUGCACGGCUAGAGUGUGUCAGACGGGGGGUAGAAUUCCACGUGUAGCAGUGAAAUGCGUAGAGAUGUGGAGGAAUACCGAUGGCGAAGGCAGCCCCCCUGGGAUAACACUGACGCUCAUGCACGAAAGCGUGGGGAGCAAACAGGAUUAGAUACCCUGGUAGUCCACGCCCUAAACGAUGUCAACUAGUUGUUGGGGAUUCAUUUCCUUAGUAACGUAGCUAACGCGUGAAGUUGACCGCCUGGGGAGUACGGUCGCAAAGAUUAA
rnacentral:rRNA from 1 species